rnacentral:rRNA from 1 species
UACGGAGGGUGCAAGCGUUGUUCGGAAUCACUGGGCGUAAAGGGCGUGUAGGCGGUCCGCUAAGUCUGAUGUGAAAGCCCGGGGCUCACCCCCGGAAGUGCAUUGGAAACUGACGGACUCGAGUCCCGGAGAGGAGGGUGGAAUUCCUGGUGUAGCGGUGAAAUGCGUAGAUAUCAGGAGGAACACCGGUGGCGAAGGCGGCCCUCUGGACGGUGACUGACGCUGAGACGCGAAAGCGUGGGGAGCAAACAGG